rnacentral:rRNA from 1 species
AUGAGUCACCUAUUCUGGAACUGCCGGGGGGCAGGGAACCGCCGGACAGUUCAGGAAGUUGGGGCUCUUGUUAAAGCCCAUUCCCCCAGAUUUGUCUUCCUAGCUGAAACAAGGCAAACAAGUGCAAAGGUAGAGCAUCUAAAGUGGAAGAUAGGUCUGAAAGGUUUAUGUGGUGUUGAUGCUGAGGGUCUUGGAGGGGGUUUAGCAUUAUUCUGGGAUGACACCAUCCAUGUAACGGUUCUGGACUCUUGCAAGAGGUAUAUUGAUGUGAGUAUUGUUGACCAAGGGUCUGGUAAGUCUUGGAGAUCCACCUUUGUCUACGGAGAACCACGUGUGGAGCAUUGACACCGUAUGUGGGAGCAUCUAAUCAGGCUCAGGGCUAUCUCAAACUUACCGUGGUUGGUCUGUGGUGAUUUCAACGAAGCCCUGUGGCAGCAUGAGCAUUUUUCUAGAACAAAUAGAAAUGAAAACCAAAUGGAGGCGUUUAGAGAUACACUCUUCGUAUGCGAACUGGUUGACUUGGGGUUCUUGGGUGCGCCAUACACUUAUGAUAAUGGCCAUCAUGGGAACGGUAAUGUCCGAGUUCGUCUGGACCGGGCAUGUGGAAAUGAUUGGAGGGAUGUGUUUCCGUAUGCAUGGGUGCAACAUUUGGUCUCACCUCGGUCGGACCAUUGUCCCUUAUUGUUACACCUUGAUGAGGUACAGGAC